rnacentral:rRNA from 1 species
CAUCGCCUUCAGCCUAAAUAUUGAAGGUCCAUUCUGCCCUAUGAUUUUAUUAAAUGGCCGCGGUACCCUGACCGUGCUAAGGUAGCAUAAUAAUUUGCCUCUUAAUUAGAGGCUGGAAUGAAGGAACAUACGAGAGUAAAGCUGUUUCAUUUUUAUUAUAUGAAAAUUAACCUUCAGAUGAAGAGAUCUGAAUAAUUAAGAAAGACAAAAAGACCCUAUUGAGCUUUACUUUACCAAGGUUUAAUAAAAGAAAACCCAUUACCCAAAACCUUGAAAGAGUUUUGUUGGGGCGACAGAAGAAGACCUAAAUCUUCUUUAUUUACAAAGGUAAUCACCCUUAUAAAGAUCCGGUUUCCCGAUUAAAAGAUCUAGCUACCAUAGGGAUAACAGGCUAAUUCUCUCUGAGAGCCCAUAUUGACGAGAGAGAUUGGCACCUCGAUGUUGGCUUAGGAUACCUAAUAAAUGCAGAAGUUUAUUAAGUAGGUUUGUUCAACCUUUAAAAUCCUACGUG